CUUAUGCUCCCUCCGUCCCAAAAUUAUUGUCUUAAGCUUGUCUAGAAAUGGAUGUAUCUAAAUACUAAAGCAUGACAAAAUACAUUCGUAUCUAGAAAAAUCUAAGACAAGAAUUUUGGGAUGGAGGGAGUAUGAA
rfam:Hordeum vulgare subsp. vulgare, WGS project CAJW01000000 data, contig: morex_contig_115196